CAGAGUUCAUGCCCUCACGGGUAGAUCUCCCACCCUUGUGAAUCUCACUAUCUGUUGCUUUGGCGGCUUGUGUUACAGCAGCCGCCAGAGGACCCUAAAACUCUGAAUGUCAGUGUCGUCUGAGUACUAUAUAAUAGUUA
rnacentral:misc_RNA from 1 species